GGAGGGUGCAAGCGUUAUCCGGAUUCACUGGGUUUAAAGGGUACGUAGGCGGCCGAGUAAGUCAAUAGUGAAAUCUAGCAGCUUAACUGCUAACGUGCUAUUGAUACUGCUGGGCUUGAGUAUAGUCGAGGUGGGCGGAAUUCUACAUGUAGCGGUGAAAUGCAUAGAUAUGUAGAGGAACACCAAUAGCGAAGGCAGCUCACUAGGCUAUUACUGACGCUGAGGUACGAAAGCGUGGGUAGCGAACAGGAUUAGAUACCCUGGUAGUCCACGCUGUAAACGAUGGUCACUCGAUAUAUGUGCCUUUUGGCACAUGUGUCCUAGCGAAAGCGUUAAGUGACCCACCUGGGAAGUACGCUCGCAAGAGUG
rnacentral:rRNA from 1 species